UACGUAGGGUGCAAGCGUUGUCCGGAAUUAUUGGGCGUAAAGAGCUCGUAGGCGGUUUGUCGCGUCUGCUGUGAAAACCUGGGGCUUAACCCUGGGCUUGCAGUGGGUACGGGCAGACUAGAGUGCGGUAGGGGAGACUGGAAUUCCUGGUGUAGCGGUGAAAUGCGCAGAUAUCAGGAGGAACACCGGUGGCGAAGGCGGGUCUCUGGGCCGUAACUGACGCUGAGGAGCGAAAGCAUGGGGUAGCGAACAGG
rnacentral:rRNA from 1 species